rnacentral:rRNA from 1 species
GACGAACGCUGGCGGCGUGCUUAACACAUGCAAGUCGAACGGAAAGGCCCUGCUUUUGUGGGGUGCUCGAGUGGCGAACGGGUGAGUAACACGUGAGUAACCUGCCCUUGACUUUGGGAUAACUUCAGGAAACUGGGGCUAAUACCGGAUAGGAGCUCCUGCUGCAUGGUGGGGGUUGGAAAGUUUCGGCGGUUGGGGAUGGACUCGCGGCUUAUCAGCUUGUUGGUGGGGUAUUGGCUUACCAAGGCUUUGACGGGUAGCCGGCCUGAGAGGGUGACCGGCCACAUUGGGACUGAGAUACGGCCCAGACUCCUACGGGAGGCAGCAGUGGGGAAUAUUGCACAAUGGGCGGAAGCCUGAUGCAGCAACGCCGCGUGCGGGAUGACGGCCUUCGGGUUGUAAACCGCUUUCGCCUGUGACGAAGCGUGAGUGACGGUAAUGGGUAAAGAAGCACCGGCUAACUACGUG